rnacentral:tRNA from 1 species
GCGGGGAGGGCUCAGUGGUAGAGCGCAUGCCUAGCAAGCAUGAGGUCCUGGGUUCAACCCCCAGUACCUUCA